rnacentral:lncRNA from 1 species
CGAAUCAAGUUCACAUACGAACCCAAAGAAAACCAAGUCCACAUACGAACCCAAAGAAAACCAAGUCCACAUACGAACCCAAACUGAAUCAAGUUCACAUACAAACCCAAAGAAAACGAAGUCCACAUACGAACCCAAACCAAAUCAAGUUCACAUAUGAACCCAAAGAAAACCAAGUCCACAUUCGAACCAAAACCGAAUCAAGUUCACAUACGAACCCAAAGAAAACCAAGUCCACAAAUAAACCCAAACCCAAAACCCAAAUCAAAUCCAAACCCAAAUCAAAUCAAGUCCACAAAUAAACCCAAACCUAAACCCAAAUCCAAACCAAAUCAAGUCCACAAAUAAACUCAAACCCAAAACCCAAAUUAAAUCAAGUCCACAUAUAAACCCAAACUUAAAUCCAAACCAAAUCAAGUCCACAAAUAAACUCAAAUCCAAAAUCCAAAUCAAAUCAAGUCCACAAAUAAAUCCAAACUUAAACCCAAACCAAAUCAAGUCCACAAAUAAAGUCAAACCCUAAACCCAAACCUGAACCUAAACCCAAAUCAAACCAAGUCUACAAAUAAAACUCAAACUUGAACCCAAAUCAAAUCCAAACCCAAACCAGAUCAAGUCCACAAAUAAACCCAAACCCAAAACCCAAAUCCAAACCUGAACCUAAACCCAAAUCAAAUCAAAUCCACAAAUAAAACCCAAACCCAAAACCCAAUCAAAUCCAAACUCAAACUAAACCAAAUCCACAAAUAAAACCCAAAACCCAAAACCCAAAUAAAACUUAAACCCAAAACACAAAUAAAAUCCAAAUCCAAACCAAAUCAAGUCUACCCUAAAUCCAAAUCCAAUCAUAAAUAGAACCCAUACCCGACUUCCAACUUGGAUUCAUGAACCAAGUUCAUGACCUAAAUCCAAU